GUCUCUUUGAUUAUUAAUAAUAAAGAGUUGGGCCUGCUCGGUGAGUAAAUUUAACAGCUGCGGUAUUAUAACUGUACUAAGGUAGCAUAAUGAUUUGCCUUAUAAAUUGAGGCUAGAAUGAAUGGUUUGACGAAAAUUAUACUGUCUCUAUUUUAAUUGAUAGAAGUUAAUUUUUAAAGUGAAAAAGCUUAAAUAAAUUAAAGGGACGAGAAGACCCUAUUGAGCUUUUAUUAAGUGUGUAAAUUUAAUAUUAGAUGUAUUAAUAAUAUAUUUAAUAUUAUUUAUAGUGUGUUAAUUUUGGUUGGGGUGAUCAAGGAAUAAUGGUGUAAUAACUUCCUUAAAUGUUUAAAUUUAAUUAAAUAAUAAACCGAAUGUUAUUGCUUAUAGAUAAGUUACCAUAGGGAUAACAGCGUAAUUUUCUUUGAGAGUUCAUAUUGAAAAGAGAGAUUGCGACCUCGAUGUUGGAUUAAAAUAACCUUUAAGUGAAGAGGCUUUAUUAGGUAAAUCUGUUCGAUUUUUAAAAUUUU
rnacentral:rRNA from 2 species